AUACUUACCUGACAGGGGUGACACCAUGAUCACAAAGGUGAUUUUCCAUUGCACUCUAGAUGUGCAUUUUCCCUAAAUAUGGGAAACUUGACUGCAUAAUUUGUGGUAGUUGGAAACUGCAUUGACGCUGUCCCCUA
rnacentral:snRNA from 1 species